GACGAACGCUGGCGGCGUGCCUAAUACAUGCAAGUAGAACGCUGAAGGAGGAGCUUGCUUCUCUGGAUGAGUUGCGAACGGGUGAGUAACGCGUAGGUAACCUGCCUGGUAGCGGGGGAUAACUAUUGGAAACGAUAGCUAAUACCGCAUAAGAGUAGAUGUUGCAUGACAUUUGCUUAAAAGAUGCAAUUGCAUCACUACCAGAUGGACCUGCGUUGUAUUAGCUAGUUGGUGGGGUUACGGCUUAACAAAGCGACGAUACAUAGCCGACCUGAGAGGGGGGUCCGCCCAACCGGGAAUGGGACAACGCCCAGGAUCCCUAGGGAGGCAGCAGUAGGGGAUCUUCGGCCAUGGAGCGAAGUCUGGACGAGCAAAGGCGCGGUAGUGGAGGAGGGUCUCCGAUCGUUAAGCUCCGUUGUAAGGGAAGAACGAGAGUGAGAGUGGAAAGUUCACACUGUGACGGUAUCUUACCAGAAAGGGACGGCUAACUACGUG
rnacentral:rRNA from 1 species